rnacentral:rRNA from 1 species
UUAAUGAGAGUUUGAUCCUGGCUCAGGACGAACGCUGGCGGCGUGCCUAAUACAUGCAAGUAGAACGCUGAGGUUUGGUGUUUACACUAGACUGAUGAGUUGCGAACGGGUGAGUAACGCGUAGGUAACCUGCCUCAUAGCGGGGGAUAACUAUUGGAAACGAUAGCUAAUACCGCAUAAGAGUAAUUAACACAUGUUAGUUAUUUAAAAGGAGCAAUUGCUUCACUGUGAGAUGGACCUGCGUUGUAUUAGCUAGUUGGUGAGGUAAAGGCUCACCAAGGCGACGAUACAUAGCCGACCUGAGAGGGUGAUCGGCCACACUGGGACUGAGACACGGCC